UAGGGAAUCUUCCGUAAUGGACGCAAGUCUGACGGAGCAACGCCGCGUGAGUGAAGAAGGAUUUCGGUUCGUAAAACUCUGUUGUUAGAGAAGAACAGCGCAUAGAGUAACUGUUAUGCGUGUGACGGUAUCUAACCAGAAAGCCACGGCUAACUACGUGCCAGCAGCCGCGGUAAUACGUAGGUGGCAAGCGUUGUCCGGAUUUAUUGGGCGUAAAGCGAGCGCAGGCGGUCAAUUAAGUCUGAUGUGAAAGCCCCCGGCUCAACCGGGGAGGGUCAUUGGAAACUGGUUGACUUGAGUGCAGAAGAGGAGAGUGGAAUUCCAUGUGUAGCGGUGAAAUGCGUAGAUAUAUGGAGGAACACCAGUGGCGAAGGCGACUCUCUGGUCUGUAACUGACGCUGAGGCUCGAAAGCGUGGGUAGCAAACAGG
rnacentral:rRNA from 1 species